AGGGGCCAAUUUCACCCUUCCCUAGCAAGACUCGGAGGAGGUUCUUCCUACACAAGAAGCCCAUCUGACCACCAGGGCUUCCUGGCAGAGAGUGGUGCUAGAUGUCAGCCAGGAACUCCCCAGACCAGGUAUUCUUCCAGGCUCAGGCAUAAAGAACCAGGAGGCUUUUAUUUUCUAUUAAUCAACCUAGUUGGAAGCAGAGCCAUUGUAAAGGCAGAGAGGUAUUGAUUACAGGAUUAAAGAAGGAAAACGCUGCUUAUACAAUGUGCUGUUCAGCAGAAGCCUCCCCUGGAUACUUGAAUAAAAUCCUCGGGCUGAAAAUGCAAAGGGAGAAGUCAGAGGUGGGAG
rnacentral:lncRNA from 1 species